rnacentral:tRNA from 1 species
GGAGGGAUAGCUCAAGUGGUAUAGUACAUGCCUAGCAUGAAGAAGGUCCUGGGUUCGAUCCCCAGUACCUCCU